rnacentral:rRNA from 1 species
AGUCUACUACUUGUGACUUCGGUCACGUUAUGGUGGUGGCAGACGGCUUAGUAACACGUAAGUAAUCUACCCUCAAGUGGGGGAUAAUCCGAAGAAAUUCGGUCCAAUACCCCAUAAUGUUUUAAUAUAUAUGUAUUAAAAAGAAAGAUUUAUCGCUUUUGGAGGAGCUUGCGGCCUAUCAGGUAGUUGGUAAGGGUAAUGGCCUACCAAGCCAAAGACGGGUAACCGAAGUGAGAGCUUGAUCGGUAAGAGGGGGACUGAGACACGGCCCCCACUCCUACGGGAGGCAGCAGCAGGGAAUCUUGCGCAAUGGACUGUAUGGUCUGACGCAGCGACACCGCGUGGAGGAUGAAUGCUUUCGGGUUGUAAACUCCUUUUCUUAGGGAAGAUGAUGACGGUACCUAAGGAAUAAGCAUCGGCUAACUACGUGCCAGCAGCCGCGGUAAUACGUAGGAUGCGAGCGUUGUCCGGAAUUAUUGGGCGUAAAGGGCGUCUAGGUUGAAUAAUAAGUCCUGUGUGAAAUCUCUUGGCUCAACCAAGAAAUGUCACAGGAAACUAUUAAUCUAGAGGUCAUCAGAGGUAAGUGGAAUUCACGGAGUAGUGGUGAAAUGCGUAGAUACCGUGAGGAACACCA